GUAAGCAAUCUGGAGCAGGUACUGUCUGCUCCCACGGUUCCCACAACAGAUGCAAGGAGACACUUCCUAAGCUUUCUGCCUCUCAGCUUAGGACAACCGAGAUUGAACAGGGGAAUAAAAAA
rnacentral:snoRNA from 1 species